rnacentral:lncRNA from 1 species
UUAACUGAAAAUGAACCUGUGUCUCUGGUUGCUGUUUUGUAGAAAGAACAAAAUUUUAAAUAAAUUAAAAACGACACCUGUAAUUUGAGAAGAUGCUUGAUAUCAGAAGAGGAGAAGAGUGGAGAGGGGUGGAGUGGCAAAGGAGAGCCUCCAAACCAAAAGCCUGCGGCAGAGGCCCUAGGAGGCAAGCACUUAACCAUGUUUCAGGACUAGAAACGAAACAUGUGACAAGACCUUUAAAAACAAAUAGAAUGGGAUGGAAUAAAGUUGGAUGAGUAAGCAGGCAUCAAAUCAUUCAGAAACUUGUUGUCCAAGUUGAAGAAUUUGUUUAGUAUUGUAUAAUAAAUGCAGAGGAAGCUAUAUACACUUAUAAUUUACAUUUUUUAAAGGCCACGUUGUAGCUCAAUCGGAUAGUUUGUCUUUUGAUGGGAUGUAGUAUACAGUAUCAUCAUGGUAUAUUCCAGGCAAAAAUAUUUAACUUGAAUCUGUCAAGCCUUUGCAUCUAACACAGUUUAUAAAAAAUACAACAGAUAGAUGAACAAACUAAAUGAUGCCAGAGGAAGUAACUAGACAGAUCCAGAAGGUGAAACAUUCUGCAGGAUAACUGGCCCAUCUCUUCAACAAUUUGUCAUGAUAAAAGCAACUGCUUUAUGAAAAGAAAUUUAAGGGACAUAACAGUUUGAAUUGGAUCCUGGUUUGAACAGACUGUCUAUAAAAUGCAUUUUCAGGACCAUUAAAGAAAUAUGAAUGUAGAUGGACUGAGUAUUGGAUAAAAUAGAACUGUAUUGCCAUGGAAAAGAUCAUUAACUGAAAAGAGCAAGUCACGAAAUAGUAUGUUACAGCAUCUCAUUUUGGUUUAAAAAUGCACAUAUAUGUAUUUAUGUACAACUAAAAAAAUAGUGGGCUUAUACCCUAAGGUGUUAGUAUUGGUAAUCUUUGGAAGUGGAAAUGUGUAUUUUUUUCUUUGUGUUUGCCUAUCUUUUUCAUUGUAACUUUUGCAGCACAUAGACUACUUUCAUUAUAGUAAAAGUUUAUUUUACCACAAUUUUUUUUUUUUUAGAAAGAGUCUCACUCUGUCACCCAGGCUGGAGUGCAGUGGCACAAUCUCAGCCCACUGCAACCUCCACCUCCCAGGUUCAAGCUAUUCUCCUGCCUCAGCCUUCUGAGUAGCUGGGACUACAGGUGCACACCACAUGCCUGGCUAAUUUUUGUAUUUUUAAUAGAGACUGGAUUUCGCGAUGUUGGCCCGGCUGGUCUCGAACUCCUGGCCUCAAGUGAUCCACCCGCUUUAGCCUCCCAAAGUGCUGGGAUUACAGGCGUGAGCCACUGCACCCGGCCUAUUUUACCACAAUUUAUAAAAAUUUUUGUUUAUUUUAAUUAAGCUAUUCUAUGUUAAAAUAAGUAGCCACCCUUGGCUGAUGCAUAAAGAAAAAAUUAGAGGAAGGAAAGAAUGGAGGCAAGGAGGCAAAUCAUGAGACCAUUUCAGAAAUCAAGACGAAAUCAGGAAAGCUAACAUUAGCAAGAGUGAACCAAACUGAUAAUAUCUUUGAGUUUAAAACUGAAGAAUUUACCAAUGAACUGCAUAGGAAAGUAAAGAAAAGAGAGUGGUCAAGAUAGGUCCUGGUUUUGGGGCCUGAACAUCUGAGUGGUUAGUAGAAUCAUUACCAGUUGAUAACCCAUGGAAGAGGGUGGGGGAUGGGUGGUGUCUUGUAGGUUGGUUGACAGGACUGACCCAUUGGGAAGAUAACGAAGAAGCAAAGUAUAUGAAAAGAGGAGAAAGGGUAACCAGAGGAGGGAGGAUACAAAGGGAGUGAUUAGCCAUCAGAAAGAUGAGGGACAUGACAUUUGUUGAGGCAGAUGGCGGAGAAAAGAAAGUUAACAUAGAUGUGGUUAGUUUUGUGGCAUUGACCAAAGGAAGAUUAAGGUGAUACUAUCUGAUGGCUUGGAAUGAAAACCAAACUCCCUGCCACAACAUGAUGAUCUUUCUCUGCAACUUCAUAUUUUGCCUCUUGUUCCUCAUUUGUUACCACUGAGUCACAAUGGUCUUUUUAGUUUCUCAAACACACCAAGAUCUUUCUUGCCUCAUGUGACCUAGAAUGUUUUCUCCCUUUCUUCAUAUCUCAGUUGAAAGGUCUCCUCUCCUCAUCAUCAUACUAUCUAAAGUAGAUUCCCUCCCUUGUUAACCUCUAGCGCAGCCAUUAGUUCCUUCAUAACACUUACCCUAACUUGCAAGUAUUUUGUUUGUUGAUAUAAUUUUUAUCUGACUUCCCCACUAAAAUGUAAGCUCCAUGAGGGCAAAAAUUGUGUGUUUUGUAUACUGAUGCAUCUCUAGCACUUGGUAUAGCAGGCAUUCAAUAAAUAUCAUUAAAUAAGUUUCACCCUUGUAAAAAAAAAAAAUAUAUAUAUAUAAAAUAUAUUCUCUACUUCCAAAAUAACACACUUUCACCAACAACAAGCACUCCAGCUAAUUAGGCAAUAGGCCAAUAAGCAAAGAAUUAUGGUAUAUUAGUCAAGAUUGGCUAGCUUAUGUUCUGACAAUAAACAAUUUCAAAAUCUCAGUUUCAAUUUUAAACUCAAAGAUACUAAUAAACAUUUGUUCUUUGCUCACACAAAGUCUAAUAUGGAACAGGCUUAGAGUUGUCCUCCAACCAGUGUCUGAGCAAUCCAGACCACUUUGAUCUUGUAACUCUGCCAUCCCAACAUGAGAUUCCACUUUCACUGCAGAAGAGGAAAUCUGUAGCAUCAUGCAGCAGCUUGUCACUACCUCAGCCCUCCUACUUCCACUUGCAUUUCACUAGCUAGAACCUUUCACAUGGCUCCACCAAACUGCAAUGGGACUGGGAAGGGAGAAUCAGAUAUUAGGGAGCAUUUAUAAUGCCUUCCAAGGGUGUGUUUCACUGCUUCCAAACUUGCUUAUGAUGAUGUUUUUCAUUUAUGUAAUGAAAUGCCAUAUGUUCUUAGUGUGUAUUCUCAGCAUAACGAGUACAUUUGGAGAAUAUUAAGUCAGUGGACUUUCCUUCUUGAAAAUUCCUGGUUCUGGGCCUAUCAUUAACCCCACUGAUUGAACCAGUGGAAAUAGUUGCCUCUUCGAAUGGAGAGAACCCUGCUGAAGGCAGCUUUGAGUUUCAAAAUAGUGUGUUUCAAGUCCACAUGGAGACGAUAGCCUGAAAGUAAGCACUUAUGAUUUUUGGAGGAGUCUUUGUUAUUAAGGAGAAAAGAGGCUUACAGAAGUCAGAUUCAGAAGACUGUAGUAUUUUUACAAUAAAUGAGAGUAAACAGUAUAAGGAUUUGAUGUAAGGGAAGUUCCUGCAGUGCAAGAAAGAAAGUCCUUUUGGUGCUGAGCGGAACAGUCUAAGAGAGAAAAGGUGAAGAACAAAAGGAAAAUGUAAAUGUGGUAUUCACACUUCCCUACUCCACACUCAGGAUAAACCUAGAGUAUGAGGUAGAGGCGGGAAUCUAGAGGGGAGGAAGCAUAGAAUAGGAACACCCAAAUAGACUUGAUGAAACAAAAAACAUCAAGGAUGGCUCCCGUGUCACCUGGGAAGACACACUUCAUGUAAGGAAUGGAAAAAAGGCAAUGGUAAGGGACAGGGGCCCUGGAUUUUUUACAACAUGCGAUAGAGAACUAUUUGUCUCCUUAAUUUAUUUAACUUUAAAAAAUAAUAAUGAAUGAAAGAAAAAUUACCCAUUUUUCAAAUAUGGGUGUGUAAGUUUUUUCCACUUUGUACAAAAAAUUUUAAAGAAACGAAAACUGCUGAACACCUUAUAUUCAGAAUUACUCCCUGUAUAAGCCCAUUCCAAUUCCAUAUACUGCUGAUUAAAUUUCCAUCAGUUGGCAGUUCUCUAAUAUCAGUUUCACUGCUAUUUAACUAACUACUGCCCUUUGCUACCAGUGUCUCUCUUGGAUGAGAGUCACUUUACUUGAAUAAGAUAACUUCUGAGAAUAAAUCUAUGCACUAUUUUGGAAGAAUUGCUCUAUAGAGUAAAAAAUAAUUCUGGAUAAUUGAAAGUUAUCUUGUGAGUAUCUGGACAUUAAGGAUACAUUUCAAGACUCCUGUUUUCACUAAAAUCCAAUAUUUGUUUAAGCACUUCAAGUUAAAGAGGAGCACCUUCCCCUUUCACCCUGACUAUCGUUGUUAAUUCGUUUUUGAAGCUAUAUAAGAACGUUUCUUUAAUCGGUUUUCCCUUAGGCAUACAUUAGCUCUCUGUUCAAGACUUAGUAGCAGAGAGUAGUAAGUAAAUGGUUAUUAGUGGUUCUUCAUAUAAAACACAUUUGAGUUUCUUAGAAGAAAACUAUGCAUAAAGAUUACUUUCAGAUAUCAUGUCUGUAGUUCGUUAAUAGAGAAGUUUCUCUGAACGUGUGGAACACUGUAAUAAGAUAAAUAAAUUUUUAAAAAGAAAAAGUAAGCAUAUAUACAAAAUGUAUGUAAUUUCAUUUGUCUUCACUUAUUUAAUAUUUAUAACCAUACAUUAAAUGAAAACCAAAUCCUACAAGCUUCAUGGUACAAAGUUU